rnacentral:tRNA from 1 species
GGUCGUGGCGGAAUUGGUAGACGCGCAGCGUUGAGGUCGCUGUGAAGUAACAUUCGUGGGGGUUCGAGUCCCCCCGACCGCACCACUUUC